AUGGACAUGGUGAGAACCUUAAUCUCAUGCGCAGUCAACUUACUUUGGGUGGCCUUUACAUCAGCUAGAUGUGAAGAAUGCUUUUCUUCAUGGUGGUUAUUUACAAGAAGAGAUCCAUAUGGACAUUCCUCCAGGUUUUGGAACAAACAGACUGAUGGGAAGGUGUGUAGGCUCAAGAAAUCUUUGUAUGGCUUGAAACAGUCGCCACGGGCGUGGACAGGUUCAGGAGAGUUGUUUGUGGUAUGGGCUACUCUCAGUGUAAUGGAGAUCAUACAGUACCGGCAUAGACGAAUCCAUAUCACCAUUUUGGCGGUGUAUGUGGAUGAUAUUGUGAUUACUGGAGACGAUAUUGAAGAAAUAAAAUGUUUGAAGGCAAGACUGGGAGAAGCAUUUGAGGUAAAGGAUCUUGGACCUCUUCGAUACUUCCUUCGGAUUGAGAUUGUUCGGUCGAAGAAGGGGGUAACAUUAAGUAUAGUGAACAGGUAG
rnacentral:rRNA from 1 species